rnacentral:lncRNA from 1 species
AGGCGCUGUCCUCGUCCGGAAAACUAAUGUCCUCGAUGUCACCAACGUUGGAGCUUCGGUGGUGGACAAUACCGCAGAUCUCCUUGGUCUUGGAGUGACACUGCAAUUGAUCAGUAAGUAUAUGUUUGUCGCUGCCAAGAACAUCCUCACCUUUGAGUAUUGUACAGGUGCCAAGACAGGAAAGAAGAGCGAUCCCGCAAACCUUGAGAAGUGGUUGUUUUCUGGAGGAUUAUUUGCUACGGACGAUGUCAAGUACUCUGUGAAGUUUUCAGUAGAUCCGGAUUUCGGACUGCCUGGAGCAUUUAUCAUCGCAAAUAGUCAUCCAAGUGAAUUUUACCUUGUCUCUUUGACUGUCGAGAUGCCUGGAGGGGGGAAGAUCGUUGAGUUUCCUUGUUAUUCCUGGGUUUACAAUUCGAAC